UACGUAGGGUCCGAGCGUUGUCCGGAAUUACUGGGCGUAAAGAGCUCGUAGGUGGUUUGUCACGUUGUUCGUGAAAACCCACAGCUCAACUGUGGGCGUGCGAGCGAUACGGGCAGACUAGAGUACUGCAGGGGAGACUGGAAUUCCUGGUGUAGCGGUGGAAUGCGCAGAUAUCAGGAGGAACACCGGUGGCGAAGGCGGGUCUCUGGGCAGUAACUGACGCUGAGGAGCGAAAGCGUGGGGAGCGAACAGG
rnacentral:rRNA from 1 species